rnacentral:rRNA from 1 species
AACAGGAUUAGAUACCCUGGUAGUCCACGCCCUAAACGAUGUCAACUAGCUGUUGGGGCCGUUAGGCCUUAGUAGCGCAGCUAACGCGUGAAGUUGACCGCCUGGGGAGUACGGUCGCAAGAUUAAAACUCAAAGGAAUUGACGGGGACCCGCACAAGCGGUGGAUGAUGUGGAUUAAUUCGAUGCAACGCGAAAAACCUUACCUACCCUUGACAUGGUCGGAAUCCCGCUGAGAGGUGGGAGUGCUCGAAAGAGAACCGGCGCACAGGUGCUGCAUGGCUGUCGUCAGCUCGUGUCGUGAGAUGUUGGGUUAAGUCCCGCAACGAGCGCAACCCUUGUCCUUAGUUGCUACGCAAGAGCACUCUAAGGAGACUGCCGGUGACAAACCGGAGGAAGGUGGGGAUGACGUCAAGUCCUCAUGGCCCUUAUGGGUAGGGCUUCACACGUCAUACAAUGGUCGGAACAGAGGGUUGCCAACCCGCGAGGGGGAGCUAAUCCCAGAAAACCGAUCGUAGUCCGGAUUGCACUCUGCAACUCGAGUGCAUGAAGCUGGAAUCGCUAGUAAUCGCGGAUCAGCAUGUCGCGGUGAAUACGUUCCCGGGUCUUGUACACACCGCCCGUCACACCAUGGGAGUGGGUUUCACCAGAAGUAGGUAGCCUAACCGCAAGGAGGGCGCUUACCACGGUGGGAUUCAUGACUGGGGUGAAGUCGUAACAAGGUAACC